rnacentral:rRNA from 1 species
AGUGGCCUUACCCAGGCAAGUCGGAACGGGGGUAGCAUACCCUAGUGGCGGACGGGUGAGUAACGCGUGAGAAUCUGCCUUCAGGUUGGGGACAACCACUGGAAACGGUGGCUAAUACCCAAUGUGCUUCACGGUGAAAGAUUUAUCGCCUGAAGAGGAGCUCGCGUCUGAUUAGCUAGUUGGUAGGGUAAAAGCCUACCAAGGCGACGAUCAGUAGCUGGUCUGAGAGGAUGAUCAGCCACGCUGGGACUGAGACACGGCCCAGACUCCUACGGGAGGCAGCAGUGGGGAAUUUUCCGCAAUGGGCGAAAGCCUGACGGAGCAAGACCGCGUGAGGGAAGAAGGUCUGUGGAUUGAGAACCUCUUUUGAUUGGGAAGA